UCGCAACUUGCCAAUUUAUUUUUAACAUCUUAAGUAUCUUUGGAAAUAAUAUAAGGAAAAUAAUAGAGAGGGGAAAUUUAUUUAAAAUUAUUAGUGGAAGUUACAUUGGUCCGGAUGAUGCAUGUGGGAACUGUGGGACUAGAGAACCUGCAGGCUACAGUUAAAUGGUUUGAUUUAGUGAUAACAGUUCACUAAAAGCAAGAGUGCUUUUGUAUAUAAACCCAAAAAGUUAGAAUACUUUACAUGUCUUCUAAUGUGGGUUGCCUGCACGAAACAUCUCAUUUCUUAUCUUACUUUCUUCAGCAUUAAUUAUGGGACUAGUGAGUCUGGUGCCACAUAACUGGGUCUCAAGAAGAUGUAUUGACUAUCCAUAUUUGAGCCCAAAUACUGGUUGGAAUCUAAUAGGCCUAACUUUGAGCCAAUUCAGAUGCUCUUUCAUUGAAUCGUUCACGAUCUUCAUUGUCUCGGAUUAUAAUACUUGAAGAGAUUGAUCACCAAGGCAAUCAGCAACAAGAGCAUACGACAUACAAACGACCGAACAAUUCAUUUCAUGAACCAUGGCUAUGACUUAUGAGCCCUGCAUGUUACUUUGUUUCAUUUACAGUAUUCUACUAUUUUACGUUUGAAAAAGAUACUAUAACAUAAUAUAGUUAAACAUAUGGCAGUGUAUUGAAACAAGCAUGUUAUGAGUCUUAUAAGUUAUUACUUACGAGACACAUGUGAUACUGGUUGCUUAGUC
rnacentral:lncRNA from 1 species